rfam:Salmo salar isolate Sally breed double haploid chromosome ssa05, whole genome shotgun sequence.
UGGCUCAGUUGGUAGAGCAUGGUGUUUGCAAUGCCAGGGUUGUGGGUUAGUUUCCCAC